rnacentral:rRNA from 1 species
ACGGGAGGCAGCAGUGGGGAAUCUUGCGCAAUGGGCGAAAGCCUGACGCAGCGACGCCGCGUGCGGGAGGACGGCCUUCGGGUCGUAAACCGCUGUUGCCCGGGACGAAUGCCCCUUUCGAGGGGAUUGACGGUACCGGGUGAGGAAGCACCGGCUAACUCCGUGCCAGCAGCCGCGGUAAUACGGAGGGUGCGAGCGUUGUCCGGAAUCACUGGGCGUAAAGGGCGCGUAGGCGGCUCUAGGAAGGCGGCGGUGAAAGCCCGGGGCUCAACCCCGGGUCGGCCGUGGCGACUCCUGAGCUGGAGCACGGUAGAGGCGGGUGGAAUUCCGGGUGUAGCGGUGGAAUGCGUAGAGAUCCGGAAGAACACCGGUGGCGAAGGCGGCCCGCUGGGCCGUGGCUGACGCUGAGGCGCGACAGCGUGGGGAGCAAACAGGAUUAGAUACCCUGGUA